rnacentral:tRNA from 1 species
GGCCGCGCCGGCAUGGCCUGCAUGCUGCGCGCUAUCGUCGCGCACGGACACUGCCGAGGCUGCGAGCGCGUCUCGCAGCCG